GACAGAGGGUGCAAACGUUGUUCGGAAUUACUGGGCGUAAAGCGCACGUAGGCGGAUUUGUAAGUCAGGGGUGAAAUCCCGGGGCUCAACCUCGGAACUGCCUUUGAUACUGCAAAUCUCGAGUCCGGAAGAGGUGAGUGGAAUUCCGUAGUGUAGAGGUGAAAUUCGUUAGAUAUUAGGAAGAACACCAGUGGCGAAGGCGGCUCACGU
rnacentral:rRNA from 1 species